GAUGAACGCUGGCGGCGUGCCUAAUACAUGCAAGUCGAGCGAACGGACGAGAAGCUUGCUUCUCUGAUGUUAGCGGCGGACGGGUGAGUAACACGUGGAUAACCUACCUAUAAGACUGGGAUAACUUCGGGAAACCGUAGCUAAUACCGGAUAAUAUUUUGAACCGCAUGGUUCAAAAGUGAAAGACGGUCUUGCUGUCACUUAUAGAUGGAUCCGCGCUGCAUUAGCUAGUUGGUAAGGUAACGGCUUACCAAGGCAACGAUGCAUGGCCGACCUGAGAGGGUGAUCGGCCACACGGGAGCUGAGACGCGGUCCAGACUCCUACGGGAGGCAGCAGUAGGGAAUCUUCCGCAAUGGGCGAAAGCCUGACGGAGCAACGCCGCGUGAGUGAUAAAAGUCUUCGGAUCGUAAAACUCUGUUAUUAGGGAAGAACAUAUGUGUAAGUAACUGUACACAUCUUGACGGUACCUAAUCAGAAAGCCACGGCUAACUACGUG
rnacentral:rRNA from 1 species